UCAAUAAAUUGAGGCUCUACUGUAGCGGUAACCGGUCCGCCAAUUAGAAAGUGGCCAGGAGAAAGAGUCUCAAAAUUGUCAAAUUCAGAAGAAAGUGGAGGUGAGAAGGCGUGAAUUUAACAUAGCUUCUAUUUCAGCAAGUAAGGGCAUAAUUAUUUCUAAAAUUUUUUUGGAUGCCGAAGAUCAGAAUGAAUUUAUAUAGAUAUGAAAUUGGGCUUCAUUACAUUGAUUCUCAAAAGGCAUAAUUAUUUCUAAAAUUUUUUUGGAUGCCGAAGAUCAGAAUGAAUUUAUAUAGAUAUGAAAUUGGGCUUCAUUACAUUGAUUCUCAAAAGUAUAAAAUGUUAUGAAAGGGACUUGUUUGAAAUGCAAAGAAGGAGCUAAACUAAUCUUAAGACAUUUAUCAGGUAUAAAAAGUUAAGAAAGUGACUUGGUUUAAAUGCAAAGAAGGAGCUAAACUAAUCUUAAGACAUUAAUCAGGUAUAAAAAGUUAUGAAAUGGAGUUGUUUGAAAUGCAAAGAAGAUAAACUAAUCUUAAGACAUUAAUCAGCUGUGUAUAUUUUGGUAUAAAAAGUUAUGAAAGGGAUUUGGUUGAAAUGCAAAUAAGGAGCUAAACUAAUCUUAAGACAUUAAUGAGGUAUAAAAUGUUAUGACAGGGACUUGCUUGAAAUGCAAAGGAGCUAAACUAGUCUUAAGACGUUAAUCAGGUAUAAAAAGUUACGAUAGGGACUUGGUUCACAUGCAAAGAAGUUGCUAAACUAAUCUUAAGACAUUAAUCAGGUAUAAAAAGUUAUGAAAGGGGCUUGGUUGAAAUGCAACUAAACGAAAGACAUUAAUCAGUUUGGACAAUUUUAUUUUUAUUAAAACACCAGCUGAGAUUUGGUCUUAGUCAAUGAAUUUACAUCUUUCUCAACAUGUUUUAAUGACAGAAAAAUGAAACCUUCUUUGUGUAUAGAGGAAUUUAUGAAAGAGACUUGGUUGAAAUGCACAGAAGGAGCGUAAACUAAUCUUGAAACAUUAAUCAGGGCAAAUUUAUUUCUAAAAUUUUUUUGAUGCCGAAGAUCAGAAUGAAUUUAUAUUGUUAUAAAAUUGGGCUUCAUGACAUUGAUACUCAAAAGGCAUAAUUAUAUCUAAAUUUUUUUUGAUGCCGAAGAUCAGAAUGAAUUUAUAUAGAUAUGAAAUUGAUCUUCAUGACAUUGAUACUCAAAAGACAUAAAUAUUUCUAAAAUUUUUUUGUUGCCCACGAUCAGAAUGAAUUUAUAUAAAUAUGAAAUUGGGCUUCAUGACAUUGAUACCCAAAAGGAAAAUUCAUUUCUAAAAUUUUUUUGAUGCCGAAGAUCAGAAUGAAUUUAUAUAGUUAUGAAAUUGGGCUUCAUGACAUUGAUACUCAAAAGUCAUAAUUAUUUCUAAAAUUUUUUUGAUGCCGAAGAUCAGAAUGAAUUUAUAUAGUUAUAAAAUUGGGCUUCAUGACAUUGAUACUCAAAAGUAAGCUUGAUAUUUUUUAAAAGUUUUAUUUCAUACCACAGAGAUCAAACACUUCACUUGAAUUUUAAGUUAAUUUUCCAUACAGCAUCUUUCAUUCACUGUUUAUUUGGUGUCCAGUUUUGUGUGUGUGUGUGUUUCACCCUUCAGCUGGAGUUCAAAUUUAAUUUAUUUCAAUAUAAAUUUUCCGAUGAUUUUCCUUUAUGUUUUAUUCAUAUCAACUUGGAAUGAAUACAGAUUUGAAAAAAAAAAAAAUAUUCAUUAGUUGUUGAAAUAAAUUUUAUACUGUCAUUAUAUUCUUGUAAUUGUUUAGUAAUUUUGUGUGUGUGUGUAUGUGUGUGUGUGGGAUCAUUCAGCUGGAGUCCAAAUUUAUUUCAUUUCAAUAUAGAUUAUCCAUCAUGUUUUAUUCAUAUCAACUUGGCAUGAACACAGAUUUGAAACAAAAUUUUUUAUUUAUCAAUUGUUGAAAUAAAUUUUAUACUGUCAUUAAAUUCUUAUAAUUGUUUAGUAAUUUUGUGUCUGUGCAUGUGUGUGUGUUAGUGAGUGUGUGUGUGUGUUUCACCAUUCAGCAGGAGUUCAAAUUUAUUUCAUUUCAAUAUAAAUUUUAAAUGAUUGUCCAUUAUGUUUUAUUCAUAUCAACUU